GCCAUGCGGCGGCUACACAUGCAGUCGAGCGGUAACAGAGCCAGCUUGCUACCCGCUGACGAGCGGCGGACGGGUGAGUAAUGCAUAGGAAUCUGCCCGAUAGUGGGGGAUAACCUGGGGAAACCCAGGCUAAUACCGCAUACGUCCUACGGGAGAAAGGGGGCUUCGGCUCCCGCUAUUGGAUGAGCCUAUGUCGGAUUAGCUAGUUGGUGAGGUAACGGCUUACCAAGGCCACGAUCCGUAGCUGGUCUGAGAGGAUGAUCAGCCACAUCGGGACUGAGACACGGCCCGAACUCCUACGGGAGGCAGCAGUGGGGAAUAUUGGACAAUGGGGGGAACCCUGAUCCAGCCAUGCCGCGUGUGUGAAGAAGGCCCUCGGGUUGUAAAGCACUUUCAGCGAGGAAGAACGCCUAUCGGUUAAUACCCGGUAGGAAAGACAUCACUCGCAGAAGAAGCACCGGCUAACUCCGUGCCAGCAGCCGCGGUAAUACGGAGGGUGCAAGCGUUAAUCGGAAUUACUGGGCGUAAAGCGCGCGUAGGUGGCUUGAUAAGCCGGUUGUGAAAGCCCCGGGCUCAACCUGGGAACGGCAUCCGGAACUGUCAAGCUAGAGUGCAGGAGAGGAAGGUAGAAUUCCCGGUGUAGCGGUGAAAUGCGUAGAGAUCGGGAGGAAUACCAGUGGCGAAGGCGGCCUUCUGGACUGACACUGACACUGAGGUGCGAAAGCGUGGGUAGCAAACAGGAUUAGAUACCUUUGGUAGUC
rnacentral:rRNA from 1 species